GACGAACGCUGGCGGCGUGCUUAACACAUGCAAGUCGAACGAGUGGCGAACGGGUGAGUAACACGUGGGUGACCUGCCCUGCACUUCGGGAUAAGCCUGGGAAACUGGGUCUAAUACCGGAUAGUGUGGGAUGGGCCCGCGGCCUAUCAGCUUGUUGGUGGGGUAAUGGCUACCAAGGCGCGACGUGUAGCCGGCCUGAGAGGGUGGACGGCCACAUUGGGACUGGGAAACGGCCCAGACUCCUACGGGAGGGAGCAGUGGGGAAUAGUGCACAAUGGGCGGAAGCCUGAUGCAGCGACGCCGCGUGGGGGAUGACGGCCUUCGGGUUGUAAAGGACUUUUGUUAGGGAGACGGUACCGAAAGAAUAAGCACCGGCUAACUACAUGCCAGCCGCCGCGGUAAUAC
rnacentral:rRNA from 1 species